UACGUGGGGGGCGAGCGUUGUCCGGAAUCAUUGGGCGUAAAGGGUGCGUAGGUGGACCAGCAAGUGCUUUGUGAAAGCCCCCGGCUCAACCGGGGAACAGCGGGGCAUACUGCUGGUCUUGAGGCAGGUAAGGGCCGACGGAACUGAAGGUGGAGCGGUGAAAUGCGUAGAUAUCUUCAGGAACGCCGAUGGUGAAGACGGUCGGCUGGGCCUGUCCUGACACUGAGGCACGAAAGCGUGGGGAGCAAACAGG
rnacentral:rRNA from 1 species